rnacentral:tRNA from 1 species
GGUCCGUUGGUGUAGACGGCAGCACACCUGGUUCUCAACCAGACGGCAGGAGUUCAAUUCUCCUACGGACUACCA